rnacentral:rRNA from 1 species
CCCAAGUGCAUUCACGCAAGUGAAUGCUUUUGUGAAGUGUAAAUAGCUUCUUGAAUAAGAGCUGGGUAAGACCGGUGCCAGCCCGCGGCGGUAACACCGGCAGCUCGAGUGGUAAUCGUUAUUAUUGGGCUUAAAGCGUCCGUAGCCUGUUUGAUAAGUCCUUGGGCAAAUCCUGCCGCUUAACGGUAGGAAUUCUGGGGAUACUGUCAGACUUGAGGCCGAGAGAGGUCGGAGGUACUUCUAGGGUAGCGGUGAAAUGCUAUAAUCCUAGGGGGACCACCAGUGGCGAAAGCGUCCGACCAGAGCGGGCCUGACGGUAAGGGACGAAAGCCAGGGGCGCGAACGGGAUUAGAUACCCCGGUAGUCCUGGCCGUAAACGCUGUGAGCUAGGUGUUGCAUGCUCUACGAGGGCGUGCAGUGCCGAAGAGGAGUUGAUAAGCCUACCGCCUGGGAAGUACUAUCGCAAGAUAGAAACUUAAAGGAAUUGGCGGGGGAGCACCACAAGGGGUGAAGUCUGCGGUUUAAUUGGAUUCAACGCCGGAAAUCUCACUGGAAGCGACGGCAGAAUGAUAGCCAAGCUGAUGACUUUGCUUGACGAGCCGAGAGGAGGUGCAUGGCCGUCGUCAGCUCGUACCGUAAGGCGUCCUGUUAAGUCAGGCAACGAGCGAGACCCGUGCCCUUAUUUGUCAGUUAUUCCCUACGGGGAAUGAGACCCAUUAAGGGGACCGCUGCUGAUAAAGCAGAGGAAGGAGCGAGCAACGAUAGGUCAGUAUGCCCCGAAUCCUCCAGGCUACACGCGGACUGCAAUGGCUGGUACAAUGGGCCCCGACUCCGAAAGGAGAAGGAAAUCCCAAAAGCCAGUCUUAGUUCGGAUUGUGGGCUGUAACUUGCCCACAUGAAGCCGGAAUCCCUAGUAAUCGCGUGUCAUUAUCGCGCGGUGAAUACGUCCCUGCUCCUUGCACACACCGCCCGUCACACCACCCGAGUGAGGUUUAGAUGAGACCCAUGGUCUUUGGCUAUGUCGA